rnacentral:rRNA from 1 species
UACAGAGGGUGCAAGCGUUGUUCGGAAUUACUGGGCGUAAAGCGCGUGUAGGCGGCAUGGCAAGUCCUGUGUGAAAGCCCUGGGCUCAACCCAGGAAGUGCGCAGGAUACUGCUGUGCUGGAGUGACGGAGAGGAUGGCGGAAUUCCCGGUGUAGAGGUGAAAUUCGUAGAUAUCGGGAGGAACACCUGUGGCGAAGGCGGCCAUCUGGACGUUAACUGACGCUGAGACGCGAAAGCAUGGGGAGCAAACAGG